rnacentral:rRNA from 1 species
ACUUUUGAAUUUAAUUAAAAUUUUAGUAGGAUUUAGUUUUAAUUGAAAUAUAGAGGGUUUAUUAUUGUAAGAGAAUAAAUUUAUUUUAUUUAUAGAGGAUAGUAUAGAGAUAGAAAAUUUUAAAGUAAGUAAAAGAAGAUUUAAUUUUUCGUACCUUGUGUCUCAGGGUUUACUAAAAAAAGUUAAUUAUUUAAUUUUCUCGAAUUAUGAAGAGCUAUGAGUUUAUAUUUUUUAAUGUGGCAUAAUUAUUAUAAAUAGAUUCAUAGAAAUGAAACGUUAGUCGUUUCAUAAUAUAUCUAGUUUCUUAAGAAAUUAAUAUAAUUUAGUAUUCAUUGAAUAUUAUGAUAUUUUUUAAUUUAAAUAUUGAUGGGUAAAAAUAAUUAAAGGGAUGAGCUUUUAAUUAAACUACUAAAAUUUAAUAUUUUAUAAUAAUAAGUAGGAUUAGAAUUUUUCAUUUUUAAAAGGAUGUUAUAGUUAAUUAUUAUAUUGAAAUUAUUUAUAUAAGAUUUAGGUUGUUUAUUAAGAUAAAUUUUUGAAUUAAAGUAGAUUUGAAAUAAUGGUAAAAUUAGUAAAUUUAAAUUGUAGGAAUUUUAAGUUAGGAAAGGUUAUUGUAAGGAAUUCGGCAAUAGAUUUCUCACCUGUUUAGUAAAAACAUGGCUUUUUGUGAAUUGUUUAAGGUCUAACCUGCUCCAUGAUGAAUUAAAUAGCCGCAGUAUUUUGACUGUGCAAAGGUAGCAUAAUCAUUAGUUUUUUAAUUGAAAGCUGGUAUGAAUGGUUGGAUGAGGAAAUAACUGUCUCAUGAUAAUUUGUAUUUAAUUUUAUUUUUGAGUAAAAAAGCUCAAAUUUUAUAUAAAGACGAGAAGACCCUAUAGAGUUUAAUAGGCUAAGAUAUAUAAGGAUUUAGGAUUUAAGUUUUUUGUAUUGAUUCUUAUUUGGUUGGGGUGACAAUAGAAUUGAAUGAACUUCUUCAUGUUUUUACAUUGAUUGAUGAUUAAUUGAUCCUUUUUUAAAGAUUAAAAGAAAAAAUUACCUUAGGGAUAACAGCGUUAUUCUUUCAGAGAGUUCUAAUCGAUGAAAGGGAUUGCGACCUCGAUGUUGGAUUAAAGUUGAUUUUUGGUGCAGAAGCUAGAAUAUUGAGUCUGUUCGACUCUUGAAACUUUACAUGAUCUGAGUUUAAAUCGGCGUGAGCCAGGUUGGUUUCUAUCUUUUAUAGGUCAAAUAUUUUAGUACGAAAGGACCAAAUAUUUAAAUAAAAUUUUAAUUUAUGAAUUAAAGU